GUACUGACGAUGAGUCCCAAACUAGGACGAAACAACUGUCCAGUAC
rfam:Trichobilharzia regenti genome assembly, scaffold: TRE_scaffold0039606